UUCAAGGCCCUCAAGCUGCUGACACAUACAAAAUGAAGACGAACAUCUUGGCAGGAGGCAGAAAAUGAACAAGCAUGGGCAACCAGCAUCAACAGAAGUGAGAUAACCUGGAGCUUCAGUAAUGCUGAAAUUAUCCACAACACAGGAGGAGAUGAUUACUAACAAAAGGGUACCAAUAAAGGAUCAAAUGGAACUGCUGAAAACUAGCCCAAUCAUGUUUCUGCCAUUCGAAUUAAAUAGGAUAUGCCAUCUGUAUAUAAGCAAGAAAUGUCAGUGGGGAGAUUUUGUUGUAUGUUAUUGGAUUGGGAUGUCAAGACAGCAUCUUCUACUCAACAGUCUUAGAAAUUAAGUAAAGAGUGCUUGUAUAAUGGAUGCUUUGCAAUUACGAUGAGACAGUGAGUGCCUAAAGGCUGGGGUGGUACAAAUUACUGCUCUGGGCCUGUACUAGAGUUAAGUCAAGAAAGACAAUUUUCUCCUCUCCUUUCCCGACUACCUGCGAUCAAAUUCAUUAUGUAGAGAUCAAGAGCUCUGACUUUGGAGUCUGACAAAACUGGAUAAUAUCAGCUCCACCGUUAUUAAUGGUGACCCUGGGGUUUUAUAAUUGAGUGUUCGGACAUGAAGCCUUCUCCACCCUGGGUAAUAAGCUGUGAUCCCCAGAAAUGCUAUCAUCCAAGUCACAUCUACUGGGAGGAAAUACAUCUGCAAAA